CUUCCUGGCAUCAGCGGCUCCGGCUCCGAUGAGCUCAUGUCUGGAAGGUUGGGAGCUGCCCUGAAGGAAAAGGUGCCUUCCGGGCCAGGACUCUGGGGCUGGAGGUGUGCUGAGACUGUGGGAAGUUAGCCCUGGCAGGGGGAUGGAGCCUGCUGACCCCCACCUAGUUUGCCUCCUGGAGCUCUGGAGAACUCAGGGAGACAUCCAUCCACACCAGAUCACCAUGACAAGGUGUGGAGGGGAGAUGGAGUAGGCUCCUCCUGUGUUUCUCCCCUCCCUCCAGAUGCUCCACUGUCACUUUGUACCCUCCCACCUAUCAAGGAUUUGCUCUUUCCCAAGGAGAAAGUGUUCUACCUACAGAAUUGCCCUGGGCAAAUUGCUUCCCUUCCUUGGUCUCCGUCUCCCCAACUCAAAAGUGGAGACUAGGUAAAAUGACUCAAGAGGCUAGCCAGGAACCAAGCACCAGAAUGCCACAGAUGAGAAACUGAGGAUCAGAGAGAAGGAAUCAUCCCAAGAUCUCAUUGGGAGAAUAAGGCAGCAGAUGCUCCUACCACGCAAACAGGGCAUUUCCAACUCUCCUGAGGGGGGGUCUCAGCCUCUUUCUGAAGCAAUACCCUGCCAAUCUGGGCAUGCUUGAGGGACUGCGACAGAUUGUCAUGUUUCCUGGGAAAAUAUACGGAGGAACCCCCUGCUGAAGGACCUGUGGGGAGAAGGAAUGCAAGCUUACCUGGUUUCUGGGCCACCCUGGGCCCAGGGCCGGGGCUGGGGCUGACUGUCACCACCUGCCGGGCCUUCACCACAUCCCAAUCCUGGUUGGCCCUGUUGUCAUGCUGGGACCCCUCUCGUGCUUCCCUGGAGCAGCUGGAUGGCUGAAUGCCCAGGGCUCUGGACAUCUGUGGCAGCCCUUGGGUGGCUCUGCAGGCAGAGUUGUCCCUGCUGCUGCUGCUGCUGGCCACCUUGUUGUCUUCCAGGUCCCUGGGCCCCGCCUCUCCCUGCAGGCCCUCUUCACUGCCGCUCUCCUCGGCCUCCAGGGCCAGGCACCUGUAGCUCCCAUCGGGGAUCUGGAAGGUGCAGGGGGUAGGCCUCCCUUCUCCAGGCCCCAGGGGCUGUGGUGGGAAGUGAGGGCCCAGCAUGAGGCUGCCUUUCCUGAUGAGCAGGCGCUGGCCCUGGGCUGGGGCAACUGCCUGAGCGCUGCUCUGAGCUCCGCUCGGUGGUGUCCUCUGGGUCUCUGCAGAUCCACCUUCACAGAGUUGGAGCGAGGUCCAGCUGAGAAGUAAGAUAAGUCCUUUCUGAGCUGGGUGAGGAGGUGGGCCCCCAACACCUUCUUCUUAACACUUCUUGACCUCUGGAAUGAGAGGCCCCUUCAGGGAGAUCUAUCUGUACAGGGAGAAAAGGAACCGCACAUGAGACAGCUCACCCAGUGUUCUGGGCUGAAUUCCUGAGACCUGUCCAUCUGAGGGUGGGCCUGAGAAUUGGGGUUUGGGGUAUGGGCCCCACACACGCACAGGGAAGUGUUGCCCAAGCUUCAGUCACUCAGCAUUCUAGAUUGGCACCCUCUGUGUGUGCUACCUGACACUCUAUGGACUUCAUUUUUUCCUUCAAUCAACUUAUAUAACUUACUUUAAUACUUUCGACUUUCUUAAGCAAUAAUUACAGAAAAAUCACAAGUCUAUUGUGCUAAGUCAUUUCCCCUGAUUCACAUUAAAUAAAUAUCUAGUUAUU